rnacentral:rRNA from 1 species
AGUGAACGCUGGCGGUAGGCCUAACACAUGCAAGUCGAACGGCAGCACAGUAAGAGCUUGCUCUUACGGGUGGCGAGUGGCGGACGGGUGAGGAAUACAUCGGAAUCUACUUUUUCGUGGGGGAUAACGUAGGGAAACUUACGCUAAUACCGCAUACGACCUACGGGUGAAUGCAGGGGAUCUUCGGACCUUGCGUGAUUGAAUGAGCCGAUGUCGGAUUAGCUAGUUGGCGGGGUAAAGGCCCACCAAGGCGACGAUCCGUAGCUGGUCUGAGAGGAUGAUCGGCCACACUGGAACUGAGACACGGUCCAGACUCCUACGGGAGGCAGCAGUAGGGAAUAUUGGGCAAUGGGCGCAAGCCUGAUCCAGCCAUACCGCGUGGGUGAAGAAGGCCUUCGGGUUGUAAAGCCCUUUUGUUGGGAAAGAAAAGCAGCGGGUUAAUACCCCGAUGUUCUGACGGUACCCAAAGAGAAAGCACCGGCUAACUACGUG